rnacentral:rRNA from 1 species
GACUCUCGGCAACGGAUAUCUCGGCUCUCGCAUCGAUGAAGAACGUAGCGAAAUGCGAUACUUGGUGUGAAUUGCAGAAUCCCGCGAACCAUCGAGUCUUUGAACGCAAGUUGCGCCCGAGGCCUCUAGGUCGAGGGCACAUCUGCUUGGGCGUUAA